CCACAGCGUUUCAUUCUUCUCCCUGCCCGGAACGCCUCUAGCUGCUAUUUGGGACAACCUAGCCCCAUGGAGCCGUCUCCUCCUUGUCCCUUCCUCGCUCAUCGUUCUGGGCAUCUGCGGCCCGGACACAUGUCCUCUGCAGCCAAGCUGCCUGAGACCUGCUCUCCUUACAAAAGAAUCCGUUUCCACUAAACCCCUGAGCGUUUCACAUGUCGUCAUUAGAAAGCCUCUUGUUUACUCAUCUUCUUUAGUUUAUUUGCCCAGUCCACAAAAAUAUUUGGUCGGCGUGACUUCCUGUAACCAAAUGUGGGUGCCCUGCCGAAAGGUAUCAAGCCGCCUGUACUUUGAUGAGGCUGUGGCUGGGGCCGACCGCCAUUUUGAAACAAGCACAGACCACAAGAAUGCUGGGCAGGGCCUACCCCCUGCAACUGUAACCAGGUUUCAGCGCCGUGGGACCCAUGAAUCACAGGCGUCUGGAGAGAAGUAUCAAGCAGAACAGGGGAAAAACUCAAUCAUCGUCUUGGAGAGUCGUGAUGAGCUGCGGAUACCCCAAGAAUGGACAGGAAGGGCUCCAUCCCGGAGGCCCUGGUUUACCAGCCACAGCGACGGUCUCUGCUCCUGCUCCCAGGCAACAUUCAGAUCUUCAGCGUUUCUUCACAGAGAUUCUUCCCCAGAGGAAGCAGCUUGCCACCUGUUCCUCAGUUUACCCGUGUUCGCCUAAAAAAAAAAACAAGAAAAUGAGCCCUCUUCCUUCUUAACGGAGCCUGAGAUAAAGACAAGUCAGAAGCUUCCAUCUGAAGGGGAAGCACAUCUUCCUGAAGGUUACAUCAGCAACCAGCCUUCCAUCUUCCUGUCCUAAAGAAUCCCUGACACUACUCUGAACAUCAGUGCCCCAGGUUUCUAAAGCCUAAGAAACCUUUUCCUGACAGGCUUCCCUCAGAGAAGAAGGGCCAGCCCCAACUACCCUCAUUUCCUACUCAAGGGCACCAGGAACAAAACUUGCCCACCCAGCCCAGCAGACGGACCGCCUUGCCCAUGGAGACCCACCCAUCAGCUCUGAUCUGUCCCAGGAAAUUCAAAUUCCACAUCCCUUGAUUAUGAGCAAUCAACACUUUAUGUUUUCCUCAGGCCAGGCCGUCUCCAAACAUGAUCCCCACAGCCCCAAAUGACACCCACCACACCCCAGGGCAUGCGGCAGGCGAGCCGGGGGUCCUUACCUCUCUCCACCUUCCCACUCUGGACUGUUCUCUGUGCCCCUCACGGUUGCCACAGGUCUCCCAGACCCGCUCUGCCAUUUGAGGCAAGGAAGCACGCUAUGGUAUUCCAUAAAUUACUUGGCAAGAGUGGAUGACAAAAACAAAAUGUAAUUCAGAUUAAAGUCACCCUCCAGCUGAAAUGAUAGUUUAUUAAAUAAACGGCAGUGCUGCCAAUCA
rnacentral:lncRNA from 1 species